rnacentral:rRNA from 1 species
UACGAAGGGGGGCUAGCGUUGUUCGGAAUUACUGGGCGUAAAGCGCACGUAGGCGGGUUGUUAAGUCAGGGGUGAAAUCCUGGAGCUCAACUCCAGAACUGCCUUUGAUACUGGCAACCUAGAGACUGGAAGAGGUUAGUGGAAUUCCCCAGUGUAGAGGUGAAAUUCGUAGAUAUUCGCAAGAACACCAGUGGCGAAGGCGGCUCACUGGCCCGGUACUGACGCUGAGGUGCGAAAGCGUGGGGAGCAAACAGG